UGUUCUGUGGCGAAGUUGGUUAACGCGCCCUGUCUAGCGAACUUGGGAAGACGUGGGAUCAAAUCCCGCCAGAACUA
rfam:Aedes albopictus isolate Foshan contig123307, whole genome shotgun sequence.